ACCUGGUUGGCUUGUCUGUAAAGCAUGUGACUCUUAAUCUCAGGGUUGUGAGUUUGAGCCCCACAUUGGGUG
rnacentral:tRNA from 1 species